rnacentral:misc_RNA from 1 species
AACGCACAUUGCGCCCCUUGGCAUUCCGGGGGGCAUACCUGUUCGAGCGUCGUUUCAACCGUCAAGCGCAGCUUGGUGUUGGGCGACCGUCCCCGAGGGGACGCGCCUCAAAGCAAUCGGCAGCACGGCAGCGGCUUCGAGCGUAGCAGAAAACCCUCGCUCUGGAGGCUGCGGCCCUGUUCGUCGGACGAGCAAGUCUUUUAACGUUGACCUCGGAUCAGGUAGGGAUACCCGCUGAACUUAA